ACUAAGUUUCAACAACGGAUCUCUUGGCUCUCGCAUCGAUGAAGAACGCAGCGAAAUGCGAUAAGUAAUGUGAAUUGCAGAAUUCAGUGAAUCAUCGAAUCUUUGAACGCACCUUGCGCUCCUUGGUGUUCCUUGGAGCAUGCCUGUUUGAGUAUCAUGAAAU
rnacentral:rRNA from 1 species